rnacentral:rRNA from 1 species
AAUACAUGCAAGUCGAGCGGACAGAUGGGAGCUUGCUCCCUGAUGUUAGCGGCGGACGGGUGAGUAACACGUGGGUAACCUGCCUGUAAGACUGGGAUAACUCCGGGAAACCGGGGCUAAUACCGGAUGGUUGUUUGAACCGCAUGGUUCAAACAUAAAAGGUGGCUUCGGCUACCACUUACAGAUGGACCCGCGGCGCAUUAGCUAGUUGGUGAGGUAACGGCUCACCAAGGCAACGAUGCGUAGCCGACCUGAGAGGGUGAUCGGCCACACUGGGACUGAGACACGGCCCAGACUCCUACGGGAGGCAGCAGUAGGGAAUCUUCCGCAAUGGACGAAAGUCUGACGGAGCAACGCCGCGUGAGUGAUGAAGGUUUUCGGAUCGUAAAGCUCUGUUGUUAGGGAAGAACAAGUACCGUUCGAAUAGGGCGGUACCUUGACGGUACCUAACCAGAAAGCCACGGCUAACUACGUGCCAGCAGCCGCGGUAAUACGUAGGUGGCAAGCGUUGUCCGGAAUUAUUGGGCGUAAAGGGCUCGCAGGCGGUUUCUUAAGUCUGAUGUGAAAGCCCCCGGCUCAACCGGGGAGGGUCAUUGGAAACUGGGGAACUUGAGUGCAGAAGAGGAGAGUGGAAUUCCACGUGUAGCGGUGAAAUGCGUAGAGAUGUGGAGGAACACCAGUGGCGAAGGCGACUCUCUGGUCUGUAACUGACGCUGAGGAGCGAAAGCGUGGGGAGCGAACAGGAUUAGAUACCCUGGUAGUCCACGCCGUAAACGAUGAGUGCUAAGUGUUAGGGGGUUUCCGCCCCUUAGUGCUGCAGCUAACGCAUUAAGCACUCCGCCUGGGGAGUACGGUCGCAAGACUGAAACUCAAAGGAAUUGACGGGGGCCCGCACAAUCGGUGGAACAUGUGGUUUAAUUCAAAGCAACGCGAAGAACCUUACCAGGUCUUGACAUCCUCUGACAAUCCUAGAGAUAGGACGUCCCCUUCGGGGGCAGAAU